rnacentral:rRNA from 1 species
UACAGAGGUCUCAAGCGUUGUUCGGAUUCAUUGGGCGUAAAGGGUGCGUAGGCGGCGUGGUAAGUCGGGUGUGAAAUCUCGGAGCUUAACUCCGAAACUGCAUUCGAUACUGCCGUGCUUGAGGACUGGAGAGGGGACUGGAAUUUACGGUGUAGCGGUGAAAUGCGUAGAUAUCGUAAGGAAGACCAGUGGCGAAGGCGGGUCUCUGGACAGUUCCUGACGCUGAGGCACGAAGGCCAGGGGAGCAAACGGG